AGCUAGAUGAACCAGUCUUUUGACGUGGUAUAAGGAAGCUUCCUGUGCUCCGGUGCUACUGCAAUCAAAAUACCAGCAUCAAACUAAAGAACUUGGACUGCAUUGGAGUUUUAUUUUGAUUGAUACAAACCAUAGCGGACAAGGAAGGAUAUGCAAGAUGAGCUUUUAACCAUCGGCCGGGAGAAAUAAAUGUGGCUGCAUGAGUUCUGAUGCACAGGAGGCAGGCAUGAUUAAAAGAACGGGGCAUCUAGUUAUCAAGAAAAGAACCUUCAU